AAAAACAUCGCUCUUUGAUUAUAUAAAUAUAAAGAGUCAAGCCUGCCCAGUGAAAAUUUUUUAACGGCCGCGGUACUCUGACCGUGCAAAGGUAGCAUAAUCAUUUGCCUUAUAAUUGAAGGCUAGUAUGAAUGGUUUGACGAGAACAAUACUGUCUCCUUGUUAUUUUCAAGAAUUUAACUUUUAGGUGAAGAGGCUUAAAUUUUAUUGAAGGACAAGAAGACCCUGUCGAGCUUAAAAGAUAUUGCAGAGUCUUAUAUAUUUUUAAAUAAAUUUCUGUUAGGCUUUUUAGUUGGGGCGACUAAGGAACAAAAAAAGCUUCUUACUAAAAAUAAACGAUCACGUUUAGAUCCGAUAAUAAUCGAUUAAAGAAAUUAGUUACCGCAGGGAUAACAGCAUAAUCUUUCUUAAGAGACCUAAUCGAAAGAAGGGGUUGUGACCUCGAUGUUGGACUAGAAUAUCCUAAAGAUGCAGAAGUCUUUAAGGGUCCGUCUGUUCGACCGUUAAAAUUCUACGUGAUCUGA
rnacentral:rRNA from 1 species